rnacentral:rRNA from 1 species
UAGGAAUAAGCAUCGGCUAACUCCGUGCCAGCAGCCGCGGUAAUACGGAGGAUGCAAGCGUUAUCCGGAUUCAUUGGGUUUAAAGGGUGCGUAGGCGGAUAUUUAAGUCAGUGGUGAAAUCUUGCGGCUCAACCGUAACAUUGCCAUUGAUACUGAAUGUCUUGAAUGCAGUUGAGGUAGGCGGAAUGUGUAAUGUAGCGGUGAAAUGCUUAGAUAUUACACAGAACACCGAUUGCGAAGGCAGCUUGCUAAACUGUGAUUGACGCUGAUGCACGAAAGCGUGGGGAUCAAACAGGAUUAGAUACCCUGGUAGUCCACGCUGUAAACGAUGAUUACUCGUUGUUUGCGAUAUAUAGCAAGCGACUGAGCGAAAGCAUUAAGUAAUCCACCUGGGGAGUACGUUCGCAAGAAUGAAACUCAAAGGAAUUGACGGGGGCCCGCACAAGCGGAGGAACAUGUGGUUUAAUUCGAUGAUACGCGAGGAACCUUACCUGGGUUUAAAUGUAGGUUGCAUGGGGGGGAAACUCUCCUUUCCUUCGGGACUACUUACAAGGUGCUGCAUGGUUGUCGUCAGCUCGUGCCGUGAGGUGUCGGGUUAAGUCCCAUAACGAGCGCAACCCCUAUCGUUAGUUGCCAGCAAGUAAAGUUGGGGACUCUAGCGAGACUGCCGGUGUAAACCGUGAGGAAGGUGGGGAUGACGUCAAAUCAGCACGGCCCUUAUAUCCAGGGCUACACACGUGUUACAAUGGUCGGUACAAAGAGCAGCCACUUGGUGACAAGGCGCUAAUCUCGAAAGCCGAUCUCAGUUCGGAUCGAAGUCUGCAACUCGACUUCGUGAAGUUGGAUUCGCUAGUAAUCGCGCAUCAGCCAUGGCGCGGUGAAUACGUUCCCGGGCCUUGUACACACCGCCCGUA